rnacentral:lncRNA from 1 species
CAGCCCAGUUGAAGAAGCCCGGGGACUCGGCUUUGUUAGUCACGACCUCGACAGGCACAUCGGGCACGACAAUGGGCUCGAGCUCGUCAGUAGCGCGGUCGUAGACACGGUGCUGGACCAUGUUAUAGGCGCAGAGGAUGUAGAAGCAGGAGGGGCCGUGGAAGACGAGCCGCUGGAUCCCGAGCCGACGAGCAACGUCCUUCGUCCACCCGUUGCACAUGUCGGCGAUCAUGCAAUCGGGGCGCCGGUGUUGGCUCCGCAGAAGCGCUUCUAAGGGUUCCUUUAGCAGCUUCAUGGCGUCGAAGAAGGGCUUGUAGUACGCCGGGGAGGAGAGGAGGUCGACGUUCUCGGACCCCUCGGGGAGGCCGAGCUCGGCGCAGGGGAACCGGAGCUCGACGAACUCGACGGGGAGGUUCGACCUGCUGACCUGGUCGAUGAUGGGGCGGAUGCGCGCGGCGUUGACCGGAGUGGUGAUGAGGGUGACGCGGACGCCACGCUCCGCGAGGAGGCGCGCCAUGUCGACCAUGGGGAUCAUGUGCCCCUGCGCCAUCAGAGGAACCAGCACGAAGUGCGCUGCCUCCGCCCCCGCCCCCGACCCCGCCUCCGCCUCCGCCUCGCAGGUCAUGGUGCUGUGUUCUUGGUUUGGUUACUAAACUCGGGCGCUACCUCGAUCGCCUUGUUGCUGUUAAUUUGUGCUAUUUUUUUGUCGAUAUUUAUGGCCAUGGUCGGCGCUCGUUAUAUAGUCGCACUUGUCGUGAUGAACAAGAAACAGUUCUCUGGACUAAGUAUAUAUAUUAUUUUUUUAUUGAUGAAAUAUUCAUAGUAGUUUGUGUAUAUUUUUUGUCUUUUUGUCUUUUUUUUUUUUUUUUUUUUUCGGUUUCAGUCUAACAUAUUUGAAUGUGAGGGCCAUAGCCUACCUUUGACCACCUGUUCAGAGAAACUGACUCGAUCUGUCAUCAUUGAACAAUUUGCAUCAGCUCAUUUGUUUUUUAAGUUGUCACCGCAGACGACCCGUGGUCCACGCAAAUACUUCGUCGGGAACAACCGGAAACGAGUCCAAGAUUAGGUGUUAUGACGAUAAGGUGAGUGGAGAUGCCACAUGACCCUGGUAAGAAAAACUUCUAGAUUAAUAAAUGCAUUUUUUAGGGACCGUUUGAUGUGGACAAAAAUUUUCUGGACACCGUGCUGCGUAGAGGCGCCCAUCACCACCUCUCUCUCUCUCUCUCUCUCUCUCUCUCUCUCUAAAAACGGACCCGCCAUUUUUUUUUGUUUUUUUUCAAGGGUUGCGAUGGGCGCCGCGUGUGACUCUCUCUAAAAACGGACCCCGCCAUUUUUUUUUUUCAAGGGUUGCGACACGCGGCGCUCAUCCGGCACCGUGCCCAAAAUAAAUUUUGUUUGGGCACGGUGUCCAGAAAAUUUUUGUCCGUUUAAUGUUUAAUUGGAUAUAGUUAUAAAUAUAAUAUAGUUGAAAGUAUAUACAGUUGUAAAUACUGUAGUCAUAAUUACACCUAAUCUGUUUGAUUUUAUACAGAUGCAACUGCUGCAGUUACAUUUCUUCUGUUUGGUAGACUGCAGUUGAGAUUUAUAUUUGUAAAUUCUGUCAUUUUUAGAUAGAAAUGUGCGAUUACCUCUUCUCAACAUAAAACAAUUAUCUUUUAAUUAUUAAUUAAGACUUUUAUAUUUACAUAUAAUUUAUAUAUUAUCAAAUUAUAUAUGAAUUUAAAAAAAUUUAAAUGUAAAUAUAUUAUAAGUUUGGUCAAAAUAAAAAUUAAGUGUUAUUAAACUAGCAGACUGAAAAAUAAGAAGCGUAUGAAAAAAAAUUUAUUGACCUUAACAGACAUUACUAUCAGAAUUCAUAAAUAUGUAUUUUUGGAAAAAAAAAAUAAGAAGGGUAUGAAAAAAAAAAUCACACUUUGUUUAUUUUUUUAAUGGGUGAGGCGACUCUGGCUCAAUUGCUGCAGUUGGUACUGCGGCCAAUUUGAAUGCAAUACCAAUUGUUACAGCUGGGCCUUCUCCUGUAGAUGCAACUACAGGAGUUAGACCUAACUGCAUCAAACUAAACAAAAAAUUAAUAGAUGCAUGCAUUUUUAACUGCAAUGCAGUUGAAAAUGCAAGCAACUAAACAGCCCCUUAUAGCAGUAACGUGAAGUUCCCUAAUCAAAUAGUAUUUUUUAAAUUUAUUUUUUUAAGUAUAAUUAUAAAAAAAUAUUUUUAUUAUAUAUAUUUGUUUAAAAUGAGAUAUUAUUAAUUUGUUUUUGAUAAUAUGAUACAAGUAUGACAUAAUAGGCUUCUACUUUGUUAGACUCUUGGGGCCGCAAUGUGGUCGGGUCGCGUGCUCACCUGUGAUCUGACCCGAGCUAAAUUAUGGAGUAUGUGCAUGCUUCCGUGUGCAAGUGGCCUGACGACCACUUAUUUUGUUUGGAGUAUCCGCCGCCUCAAUCCGACCCUCCCAUGUAUAAUCCUCUUAUAUUUUUUUCUUUUUUAGCUAAUUAUAAAUUCUUUUUCUUGUUCAAAUGCUGCUUCUAUACUCUUUUAAAAAAGUAUACCCCAAGAGUAGACCCACUUUUGCAUGUAUAAAUAAUAUUGCUUAAUUUUUAUGCGAGCAAUAUUACUUGUAUGCUGAAAAAAAUAAUGGAUAGAAAUGUUAAAUUUCAUUCAUCUAAGAAUUAAUAUUUUCAUAUUAGUCUUAUUAAUUUUUAAAUAUUAAACAUUUAAAAGGAGUGAUUAAACUGUUGGAUUCUUCGGUGUAAAAUUUACACCAUAUUUUUUGGUAUACAAGUAGCAUUGCUCUUCUUAUACUGAUGCCUAAGAAGUAAAUUAUUUGAUUUGUAAUUUUUAAGUCUAUUACAAAUAUAACACCCCUAUUAUUGUAUUAGUAUUUAAAUAAUUAGAUAUUAUUACUUAAUUAAAUAUUAUUUAUAUAUAAUAAUAUGCUAAAUCUCAACGCCACUCAUCCAAAAUUGUAGAAAUUACUCAUUGGAUGGAUAGUGUGUAUGAUUUGUUAGUGUAGAUUGUAAUAAUGGAAGUGAGAUUGAUGAAUAGUUGUGUCUGUUCAUAAAGUAGUUAAUCUUAUGAAAUGAUUCGUCUCUUCAUUUAACGAAAAGAUAUGUCUCUUCACGAAGAAAUAUGUUUCUUCACGAAAAGAUAUGAACUUUUUUAUGAAAGAGUAUGUUUUUUCGUUAUUCGUGAAAGGACAUGUUCUUUUGUAAAAGGAUAUAACUUUAAAAGUUGUGUCCCUUCAUCGUAACCAUUCACUUUCUAUAAAUAAAAAAUGUUUGAAGGUUUCAAGAGCAACGUAUUCAAUCCUUCCUCCUUCCUAAUUUUUCAUAUUGAUGCUUAAAAGAGUUCUUAAGGGAAAGUCUUCAAAAGUGCUGUUUGCAGUCUUUCAGCAGUCUGGUUGUAUCCUGGAGGUGAUUUGCUGGUAACCCGAUAGCAUACAUUCGAGUGGGGGCAAAUAACACCUUAAAGAAAGUGAACUUACAUGCCUUAAGACCAUAAUUUGCUUGAUCUCUAUUCAUAUUUUUCCAACAAUUUUAAGGUGUUAUUUAAUGGAGACAAACACUGAAGCGACUUUCAAGAUGACAAAUCAAGACUAUAUGAAACUGAACCAAUUCGAUGGGACGAACUUCACUCGAUGGAAAGAUAAGAUGAUGUUCUUACUUACUGCACUGAAGAUAGCCUACAUUCUGGACCCCAACUUGUCAGAUAUUUCUACCCCGACUAAUGCAGUUACUGAUGAAGUGAGGGCGACAGGUAAAAAAGGCAAGGAGGAUGAACUACUAUAUAAAGGACAUAUUCUCAAUACCUUGCCAGAUAAUUUAUAUGACUUAUUUGCAUCAAUCCAAUCACUAAGAGAAAUAUGAAACUCUCUAGAAGCAAGAUAUAAUACUGAAAAGUAAGGCACAGAUAAGUUUUUAAUUAUGAAAUAUUUUGAAUUUACUAUGGUAGAAAACUUAUGAAUAAUGCAACAAGUACAUAAGUUACAAAUUUUGGUUUUUAAGCUUAAAGAGUUAGAGAUUUCUGUUCCAGAAUCUUUUCAAGUGGGGGCUAUUGUUGCAAAAUUGCCUCGUAACUGGAAUGAUUAUAGAAAGAAACUUUUACACACUACAGAAGAUUUUACUUUAGAACAAAUUCAAAAACACUUGAGAAUUGAGGAGGAAACUCGGAACCGCUACCUAAAAAAUGAUGUUCAACAUAAGUUUAAAGUAAAUCAAGUAGAUGAAAAUAAAAAUCAAAAGUUUUCUGGAAAUAAGAGAACAUUUUCUGAAUCAAAUAACUCCAAGAUAAAAAGGGACAGGAUUUGUUAUCACUACGGAAAGAAGGGUCACUAUAAAGAGAGUGCAGAUACAUGAAGAAAUUUAAGAAGGAAGACACUAAUAAGGCCAAUAUAAUUGAACAACAAACCACAAAAUUUAUUGCAAUGAUUUCUAACAUGCAUAUAAGCACAGUUACCGAACUUCACAUGGCGACAGCAAGUCAGUCGCUGAAUUGGUGGUAUGAUUCGAGUGCUACUGUUCAUGUCUGCAACAACAAAUCUCAAUUUAUAGAUUAUGAAGAGGCAGCAGAUGGUCAGGAAGUGUUGAUGGGAAAUCACAGUGCUGCAAAAGUUCUAGAAAAGGGCAGCUGUAAGGAUAUGAAAACCUCGAAUUGUAAAUUGGAACUUCGAUCAGAAUUGAUCCAAGAUGAGUUCGGAGCGCUUCGGAAAAGCCGAAGGCGUCGAAAAUGCAAAAAGUGCAUUGACGAGGACCUCGGAGAGCAAGUUGAGAAAAUUCUGCAAGCUGCAAUUUUUGUGCUCUCGGAGAUCGGUCCUUCCAGAGGGAAGCAGCAACAGGCUAUUGCCUGCGAGAGUUUUGCUCUCGGGGACCGGUCUCCCUUUAGAGAAACCGGUCCCCGUAGCCCGAAAAUGCCCAGUUUGGGCAGUGUGAUAUGUAAAGAGUUGAUGGGGUUUUUGGCAUUGUUACAUAUGAGGGGUUAUAUGAGAAUGUUUUACUCUCUCUUCUCUCAUUUCCCUCUCAUCUAAAACCUAAUUAAAUAGCUCUCCCGCUCUCUCUCUAAGCUCCCUUUCUCGCUCUUAAUGGUGGAUCUAAGGGGAGGAUUUGUUGGAGAAGCAAGCUUAGGAGUUGGUCUCAUUCCUCUUCAUCUUCUCCCUCUCCUUUGGAGUAGCUUGUUUGAGGUAAGCUCAUGGAGCUUUCAUGGUAGAUCACCAGAGAUGAGUUUUUUUGCUCUAGAAUUGAUUUUGUUGGAACCCGUUAAUGCUAGAUAGAUGUUUAUUGCGUGAAUCUAAAGCUUUAAUGGUGGAUUCUUGCAUUGGUGCUAAGUUAGGGUUCCAAAUGGGGUUUUUCAAAAUCUAGGGGUUUGAUCUAAAUUGGACAUAUGUAAACCUAAUUGCUAGAUAUUUUAACGCGUUGGCGAAGUCGGUUCGGCGGUUCGUCGAGCCUACGCGAAUGAGUCGAAGAGAAGACCUGUUUUGGUACAGAUUGCCGUAGCACGCGGCGUAGGCUUCCAAAAAUUACGAGAUCGGAUUCGUGGGCUCGUGACAUCGCUAAAAGGUGGGUAGUGUCAUCCCGAAGCAGUUGAGCUUCCCCUUUUGUCUAAGUUAUUCAUAUUGACUAUAUUCACAUUUUGACUUUAUGCAUGAUAGGGUAUUUGGUUAGUUGCAUUUCUAUUCUUGCAUGCUCCUAGGUAGUGUAGCAUUGAGGGCUUGACACUUGAACUUAGGGUGCAUGAGAACGAGCCAUUAUGACAUAGGACCCUAUAGUGAUAAAGAUAAGUGAUAACGUGGAACCAAACAUGGCCUUAGCUGAAAAUGUGAAUCAACUAGGAUUCGAACUUGGGUCUCGAGUACCAACCAUCAAGUCCUUUGCCACUUGCUCUAGGGACGGUCGGUUAAAAUUAAAUGUUAAAAGAGAGAAAAGUGUGUACUUGAUAGGUUACUAGUUAUGUCCUUGGUGUGAUCUUCUCGUUUGAGGCUUAUUGGAACCUUUUAGGCUUUAAUUUCUCUCUCUCUCUCUCUCUCUCUCUCUCUCUCUCUCUCUCUCUCUCUCUCUAUAAUUGUUGCUUGCGUUAAAAUGGUCGGGUAUGUCGCUGUACGUGUGAACUGGCCAUUCACAUGACCCAUGUGAGCCUCGUCCUGAAUGUUAUCUCCUUUGUCGCCCAACCAUGUCGCCCCAAUAUUCUCUCCACAUGAUGGCUCACUAUUUGGGAAUGCUAGGUUAAAAUGUACACAAAUCGCCUCGACAUUUUUUUGUGUAUUCUAAUAAAGUGAAAAAAAAAGUAAGUUACAUAGUGAUCAUUUGUUUAAUUUAACUAUUCUAAAUGUCUUUUCAACUGUGAAUUUGUCAAUUUUUAACUAUUAUAGUAAUCUAAUUAAUGAAGGGAACUCAAAUACAGAGAUCAAUUUAGGAGAAGUUGAGAAAUGUCAUUUCUUAAAACUCAUUUCUUAAAAUAAACAAUGGAGGGCCUUUUUCAUUAUGGCAUUUAAUUGAGGGGUCCUCGAUUAAUUUUUAACUUUGGAAAAAUCCAUUCCUUUCUCUUUCAUAAAAGUUGGACACACUGCCCUGGAAACUUCGUAAGAAAGAGAGUUUCUUUCCUUUGUUUUUAAAUUAAGAGUAGAGUUGAAUCAGGAUUUUAACUCCACAUGUGGUGUAUUUUGUGCAGGGCUUUAUUUAAUUUUAAAAAUUAAAUAUCUUCUAGAAAGUGUUUGGUUGAAGAUUAGCACCAAAAUAGAAGUAAACAAUCCUACUAUUCCAAUUAACAUUAUGAAAAAUUUCCAAAAUUUUUAUUUGGAAUUGGGAAGCACAUAGAUCCCAAUUCAUGUUGUUUUAGUUGGGGAUCGAGUUACAGGACUUUUACUCAAGGAUAUUUUGCAUAAGGUUUAGUAUUAUUUAACAACCUGCUUGGAUGCCUAAAUAUGUAAGUUAUCCAAUACAAAUCAUCUUACUCAUCAUUUUUAAGAUCACCAAAACUAUUUCUAUAAAUUUAAACCAAAGUCCUCUUUAAGGAAUCAAACAUCCUAAUUAGACUUUAGCUUCUUAUUAAGACAGAAAAAGAAAAUAUUAAAUAUAAAAAAAAUGAAUAUAUUGUUGUUUCACAACAAAAGCUUCUAGAAAAGAGUAUUAUUUGACUUAAUACACACUUUAUUUUCGCCUACCUUACAUAAACGCAAGUCUCUUUCAGUUUAUCGAGGGCUCAAUAUUACAUCUUAUCUUGACCAUCUUUUUUAUAUUGUUGUCAUAGAGAAUGCUCUAGCAGUCAAAUGUACAAUUUUUUUUUUCUCAAGCUCUAGCUAGAAUCCUUAUUAGGAUUCUUCUUCUUCUUCCUUUUCACGCGUAUUUAUUCAUACGCAAUUGACUCGAGACUAUUCUCUCACAUCAAAAUGCUUGGAGAUGUAACAUACGAUCAGGUCGCAGGUCAAAAUUCGACUACAAGGAGAAGAUUUAGCGCCACAUUCUAGAGCAGAUUAGAUUAAAUGAAAUUGAUUGCGACUUGUACGAUAAAACUCUGACAAUUCUUCAGCAACAUUCUCUAUUAGCUCUUUAGCCCGAUUCUUUGGCUUAUAUAUUACGUGAAUUACUAGCAAGGCCUUUGAUAAUAAAAAAUAUAUUUCCUUUUUUUUUUUCAUUUUUGUCCUAAGAAAAAACAGAGAAGGGCUUUUGAACCAUCAAUGCGUACGUAAUAGGCUAUUGAAUAUGGAAAAUACUUUAAUUUGAUGAGUACUCUAUAUUUUUUGAGAAUUGGUAGCGAAACAUAACGCUACCUGUUUCAUUCAUUGCAGAUAUGAAUUAGGCUACAGAGGUGAGGCAACCAGGGCCUCAAGAGAGAGAAAAAAAUAAUAAUAAUAAUAAUACUAAUAAUAAUAAUAAUAAUAAUAAUAAUAAUAAUAAUAAUAAUAAUAAUCGCAAUCAUAAAAGAUCUUUCCAAAAAUCAAUCAGCUGCUUACGCCUACGCACCACACAAGUCGGAUCUACUUGUUUGUUACGGAAAAUUAAGUCGUUUUUGGCUUUCCAAAUGAUCCACCAGCAUGCAGCCAAUUCCGCUAGACCGUUCCUCGUACUUUAUACCCCAUACCGUCCCUUCCACCUAUCCCAGACAGCAUGAAUAUCAUCACCCAGAUCCUCCGACUGAACAUCCUCGAGUCCCGCGACCAUGGUAAAUUUGAUACAGACGCAUUGGGUGAACAGAUGGUCCACCGACUGGUCAAAAACCCCACACAACGCACAAGCCAUACUUCCAGCAAUCCUUUCUUGCUGAGAUUGUCGACCGUAGGUGUUCUUUUCUUAAGAAAUAGCCAACAGAACACUUUGAUCUUAAGUGGAAUACAAAGUUUCCAGAUCAGGUUACCCCGUCCAUCUCUCGUGCCCCCGUCAUUCAUCAUUUGAUAUGCUGAUUGGACUGAGAAAAUAUCAUUGACACCCCAUCUCAAGCCUAUCCUGUCCUCCCCUUGCCCAAUAAUAAAACUAGUAACUCUCUCUUUGAGCUCCUGAAGGGUGGGGCCCAGGCUUGGCGGCUCUGGAGCCUCAACUCCCAGGAUCCUAUUCCAAUUCCAGUCUUCGGCUCCAACGCAAUCCCUAACCAAUAAUGAUUUGCAGUCCACCUGCGUGUACACCUCCGAGAAAGCCGCUAGAAGUGUGGUAUAUCCACACCAUUUGUCCCGCCAAAAGUCGAUCGAUCUCCCGUUGCCCAGAAAAUAGUUGAUCCCCCAUUUGAAAAUACCUUUAGUGGUUAAAACUCCUUUCCACCACUAUGAGGCAGGCCUGAAUCCUCUUCCCUCCCAAAGCGGCCUUCUUCUGAGAUAAAAUAAGGCCCGGAUAAUUUUAAUCCACGGCAAAUGAAGUGCAGUAUGAAAUCUCCACCACCAUUUGACUAUAAGCGCCUUAUUUACGUCAGCCACAUCUAGAAUGCCUAGUCCACCGACCCUUCUGCUCCGACAGACGUUCUUCCAAGCAACCAGGCACCCCUUACCAGGGUGGUUGCUUUGGCCGGUCCAGAAAAAAUCUCUGCAUAAAGCUUCGAUACGCUUGAUCACCCAACUAGGUGCCUUGAACACGGAGAGAAAGUAGAGUGGUAGGUUAGUAAGCACCGCAUUGACCAGGGUGAGUAUACCCCCUCUCGAGAGAAGUUUGGCCUGCCAGCCAUCGAUUCGGUGCUGCAAUUUCUAAAUAACCCCUCUCCGCACCUCCUUAGUAGGCGGUUUAGCAGAGAGGGGGAACCCCAAAUAAGUGGUGGGAAGAGAACCAACUCUACAGUCAAGCAAUCGCGCAAGUCUCGCCGCUUUGCCCUCGGUCCGUCCCAGAUAAUAGCGCUCGGACUUAUCUCUGUUGAUUUUCAACCCAGACGCCCACUCGAAUAGGUUCCACAUAAGUCGCAGAUUUCUCAUAUACCGUUUUCUAGCCACGGAGAAAAAAAAGUAUCAUACACGAACUGUGUAAGGAUCGUUAUACUCUAGUCUCGUCUGAAGGAUUAAUACCCUUGAAGAGGUUGUUUAUGGUGACCUUGUUGGUUAGUCUAGCGAAGCAUUCCGCCACCAACAGAAAAAGGAAUGGUGAAAGAGGAUCCCCUUGACGUACACCCAUUUUAGUUUUGAUCCAGUUAGUCGCCUCCCCGUUGACCAAAAUUGUUACUGUAGCGUUGCAUACACAUUGUUUGAUCCAUCCACACCAUUUCUCCUCCAACCCCCACCAUUGUAGAAUACUGAAAAGGAAGGGCCAAUAUAUCCUAUCAUACGCCUUUUUCGAAAUCCACUUUUUUGCCAACCCCCUCCAUAGCUUCCCUAGUACCCCAGCCAAUUAAUUCGGAUACGGUUACAUACGCGUCAGUAAUAUUUCUCCCUUUCAAGAAAGCGGACUGCGAGGGAGAGAUUAGCUCGUUCGUUCAUUCCCUAGUACUCUAUAUUAAUGUCAAUAAUUUCAUAAAAAAAAUGUGUACCUUUUUUUUUUUUUUGAAUGACUCAAAUUAGACCGCAUUUCUUGCAUUGGCUCAUUGGAGGAAACAAAACCCCAUGAAAGGAAGAGAUUCACCAAUUACAGUGGUGGUAGAAUUGAAACUAACAGGUAUUUAAUUGCUCUGUGUUUGGCUUGUCCUUAUUCAACAGAUACACGGAAUGAAAAGCUGUUGAUAUUAGCUGUGACAGAGGAGGCGCCAAGGGGCCCGCUGCGCUGUUCGGAAGAAAAUAAAGCGAAUUUCUUUCUCUAGCUAGACAUUAACUACUUAAUUUGGUUCAAUGAUUUAUUCUAGAAGCAUCGAGAAGGUUCUAUCUUUGGUUUUAAAUAACUGCCAAAUAAGCUAAUGGCCUGGCCCUUUUAUCCCGCUUUAGGCCCAAGUACAAUAGAGGCUCAUUCCCAGCCCAAGUAGGCAUUUGAAGGCUACUCGAGGAGCUAGCACGACUAAAAAAAAAAAGUUAAAUUUGAAGGCUCAAUCUCAAUUCUCAAACAUCCAUCAAUUUUUUUUUUCUUUUUUUGGUUAAAUUAGACUUAUAGUAGGAGGUUGGUUGGUAUUCCGAAUAUAAUUUUAUAGUUCAAGGAUUCGAAUAUCUAUGAUUACGAUUGAAAAUAUUGUAUAUAAUAAUAAUAAUAAUUGGAAGGACACAUACAUCGUAUUAACGGUAAACAAUGGUUAUUCAAAAUAAUCGAUCGUUUCAGAAUCUCUAUUAAGUUUCUCUUUUGGUCUCAAUGCAAAUGCCAAACUCUCAAGUUACGACAACAUGGGCGCUAAAACCAUUGGAGAGCUCCUUAACAGCAUCUUCAACCUUCUCCUCCUCUCCGUAGCGUCCCGCCAUACACUCGAUCAUAUCAUCCAUAUUUCUAUAAGAAGACCCUCCCUCCUCCAUGGCCUUCUUCGCCUUCUCGGCCAACGCCUUCGCCCUCCGCCGCAUCUCCUCCCCUUCCUCUCCCUCCAUCAACUCCGACACCGCCUUCCUCAACUUCUCCUUCGUCACCAGCAGCGUCGAGUCGUCCGUGACGUGCGUUCUCGGCACCUUCACGUCGAGGGAGCGCCCGAUCUUCAAAACGUCGACGACCAACUUCUCGUUGAGGAACUGGUCGGCGAAGUGCGGCCAAGUCAGCAUCGGCACCCCCGCGGAGAUCGCCUCCAGCGUGGAGUUCCAUCCGCAGUGCGUUAGGAAGCCGCCGAUCGCGGGGUGCAACAGGAUCACCGUUUGUGGAGCCCAACCCUUUAUGAGGAGGCCCCUCUCUUUAGUUCUCUCUGCAAAGUGCUCCUCCGAAAGCCACUUCUCCACCUCGGGGACUAGCUCGGCUUCUUUCACCACCCAUAUGAAGGACCGGUGAUCGGAGCAUUCUAACAACCCCUUUCCGAUCUCGAUGAGCUGCGUCGGUCGCAUGAGCACGAGGCUGCCGAAGCUCACGUAGAAGACGGAGCUUGCGCCCUUCCUGUCGAGCCAGGUGGUGAUGUCGCGGUGGUCGACCGCAGCCUUGUUCCCGCGCGCGGCCUUGCUGUCGACGUCCUUGCUGUAGAGGCACAGCGGCCCCACCGUCCACACCUUCUUUUGCAUGAUCUUCUCGUAGCAGUCGACGAAUGAAGGCUCCAGAUCGUAGAAGGUGUUGAUGACGACCCCAUCGGCGGUCGACUCCGCCUCCAGCACCUGUUCAGUGUAAAAUAUUAAAAUAUAUAUAUUAUUCACUAAGCGGUAUAUAAUUAGAUUAAUUAAAUCUUUUUUCCAUAUAUAAAAUGUGUAGGGUACUCUAGAAACAUUCAAACGUUGUAGAAAUUCAGCGACUUCUAAGUUCGCGUACAUAAUAGCUUCGAUCGAGUGGUUAAUUAAUUAGUCGGGAAAAUACCUCAGCCCGGAGGUCCUCCCACCCAGACCAGUUGAAGAAGCCCGGGGACUCGGCUUUGUUAGUCACGACCUCGACAGGCACAUCGGGCACGACAACGGGCUCGAACUCGUGGGUAACGCGGUCGUAGACACGGUGCUGGGCCAUGUUAUAGGCGCAGAGGAUGUAGAAGCAGGAGGGGCCGUGGAAGAGGAGCCGCGGGAUCCCGAGCCGACGAGCCACGUCCUUCGUCCACCCGUUGCACAUGUCGGC